GAUGAACGCUGGCGGCGUGCUUAAGACAUGCAAGUCGAACGGAAAGGCCGUGCGGGGGUGGGGUGGUCGAAGGGCGAACGGGGUAGUAACACGUGGGUAACCUGCCCGGGAUAGCGGGAGAACUUUAGGAAACAGGGGGGAAUACCUGAUAGGAGCUCCGGCUGGAUUGUGGGUGAGGGUGAGUUUCGGCGGUUUGGGAUGGUUGCGCGGCUUAUCAGCUAGUUGGGGGGUGAGGGGCUGACCAAGGCUUUGACGGGUAUCCGGCCUGAGAGGGUGACCGGCCACAUUGGGACUGAGAUACGGCCCAGACUCCUACGGGAGGCAGCAGUGGGGAAUAUUGCGAAAUGGGCGGAAGCCUGAUGCAGCAACGCCGCGUGCGGGAUAACGGCCUUCGGGUUGUAAACCGCUUUCGCCUGUGACGCAGCGUGAGUGACGGUAAUGGGUAAAGAAGCACCGGCUAACUACGUG
rnacentral:rRNA from 1 species